rnacentral:rRNA from 2 species
CAUUCGACCUGAGUUCAGGCAGGG